rnacentral:piRNA from 1 species
UGUGAAGGGUNCACUCUGCUCUUUAAGUG